rnacentral:rRNA from 1 species
AAGAAGUUCUGACGGAGCAAUACCGCGUGAGGGAUGAAGUAUCUGGUAUGUAAACCUCUUUUCUCAAGAAAGAAGUUGACGGUACUUGAGGAAUAAGCAUCGGCUAACUCCGUGCCAGCAGCCGC